AAUCUGUGAUGAGGGCAUUUGGUUUGAUAACCCUUAAAGCGCUCCCAAGCUUCACAGAAGCUUUCAUUUUGCUUUUGAGUGAAUCCAGAUAUCUCAUUCCGGAGUCU
rnacentral:snoRNA from 1 species